rnacentral:rRNA from 1 species
CCUACGGGGGGCAGCAGUGGGGAAUAUUGGACAAUGGGGGCAACCCUGAUCCAGCCAUGCCGCGUGUGUGAAGAAGGCCCUCGGGUUGUAAAGCACUUUCAGUGAGGAAGAACGCCUGGUGGUUAAUACCCAUCAGGAAAGACAUCACUCACAGAAGAAGCACCGGCUAACUCCAUGCCAGCAGCCGCGGUAAUACGGAGGGUGCGAGCGUUAAUCGGAAUUACUGGGCGUAAAGCGCGCGUAGGUGGCUUGAUAAGCCGGUUGUGAAAGCCCCGGGCUCAACCUGGGAACGGCAUCCGGAACUGUCAAGCUAGAGUGCAGGAGAGGAAGGUAGAAUUCCCGGUGUAGCGGUGAAAUGCGUAGAGAUCGGGAGGAAUACCAGUGGCGAAGGCGGCCUUCUGGACUGACACUGACACUGAGGUGCGAAAGCGUGGGUAGCAAACAGGAUUAGAUACCCCGGUAGUC